rnacentral:tRNA from 1 species
UCCUGGCUGGCUCACUCAUUAGAGCAUGGGACUCCUGAUCUCAAGAUUGUGAGUUUGAGCCCCAUGUCAGGGG